rnacentral:rRNA from 1 species
GACGAACGCUGGCGGCGUGCUUAACACAUGCAAGUCGAACGGAAAGGCCCUGCUUUUGUGGGGUGCUCGAGUGGCGAACGGGUGAGUAACACGUGAGUAACCUUCCCUUGACUUUGGGAUAACUUCAGGAAACUGGGGCUAAUACCGGAUAGGAGCUCCUGCUGCAUGGUGGGGGUUGGAAAGUUUCGGCGGUUGGGGAUGGACUCGCGGCUUAUCAGCUUGUUGGUGGGGUAGUGGCUUACCAAGGCUUUGACGGGUAGCCGGCCUGAGAGGGUGACCGGCCACAUUGGGACUGAGAUACGGCCCAGACUCCUACGGGAGGCAGCAGUGGGGAAUAUUGCACAAUGGGCGGAAGCCUGAUGCAGCAACGCCGCGUGCGGGAUGACGGCCUUCGGGUUGUAAACCGCUUUCACCUGUGACGAAGCGUGAGUGACGGUAAUGGGUAAAGAAGCACCGGCUAACUACGUG